AAGUCGUAACAAGGUUUCCGUAGGUGAACCUGCGGAAGGAUCAUUACCGAGUUGAUUCGAGCUCCGGCUCGACUCUCCCACCCUAUGUGUACCUACCUCUGUUGCUUUGGCGGGCCGCGGUCCUCCGCACCGGCGCCCUUCGGGGGGCUGGCCAGCGCCCGCCAGAGGACCAUAAAACUCCAGUCAGUGAACUUCGCAGUCUGAAAAACAAGUUAAUAAACUAAAACUUUCAACAACGGAUCUCUUGGUUCUG
rnacentral:misc_RNA from 1 species